AUUGAACGCUGGCGGCAGGCCUAACACAUGCAAGUCGAACGAGUGGCGGACGGGUGAGUAAUGUCUGGGAAACUGCCUGAUGGAGGGGGAUAACUACUGGAAACGGUAGCUAAUACCGCAUACCAUCGGAUGUGCCCAGAUGGGAUUGGCUGGUAGGUGGGGUAACGGCUCACCUAGGCGACGAUCCCUAGCUGGUCUGAGAGGAUGACCAGCCAAACGGGAACGGGGACACGGUCCAGACUCCUACGGGAGGCAGCGGUGGGGAAUAUUGCACAUGGGGCGCAAGCCUGAUGCAGCCAUGCGGCGUGUAUGAAGAAGGCCUUCGGGUUGUAAAGUACUUUCGGCGGGGAGGCGUUACCCGAGGAAGAAGCACCGGCUAACUCCGUGCCAGAGCCGCGGUAAUAC
rnacentral:rRNA from 1 species